GAUCCUGGCUCAGGAUGAACGCUGGCGGCGUGCUUAACACAUGCAAGUCGAACGGAACUACUUUGAUGAGAUUCUUCGGAAAGGAUUUGAUUUAGUUGAGUGGCGGACGGGUGAGUAACGCGUGGGUAACCUGCCUCACACAGGGGGAUAACAGUUGGAAACGGCUGCUAAUACCGCAUAAGCGCACAGUACCGCAUGGUACAGUGGGAAAAACUCCGGUGGUGUGAGAUGGACCCGCGU
rnacentral:rRNA from 1 species